rnacentral:sRNA from 1 species
UUUUGCCCCAGAUUGAAGUGAAAACCCCGGAAUUAUGCCAGUUUACAUUUUUUGUAUUUAAAAAGCGACCAACGGAAGCUGUUUUAAAUACUUAAAAAUGUUACUGGCAUAAUGAGGAGUUGAAACGAAAAGCUGGAUUAGGC